GGAUGCGAUCAUACCAGCACUAAAGCACCGGAUCCCAUCAGAACUCUGAAGUUAAUCGUGCUUGGGCGAGAGUAGUACUAGGAUGGGUGACCUCCUGGGAAGUCCUCGUGUUCCAUUCC
rnacentral:rRNA from 2 species